rnacentral:rRNA from 1 species
UACGGAAGGUGCAAGCGUUGUUCGGAAUCAUUGGGCGUAAAGGGCGCGUAGGUGGUCUUGUAUGUCUACCGUGAAAGCGUACGGCUCAACCGUAUUUUGUCGGUAGAAACUGCAGGACUUGAGGCUGGGAGGGGCUGGCGGAAUUCCCUGUGUAGCGGUGAAAUGCGUAGAGAUGGGGGAGAACACUCGUGGCGAAGGCGGCCAGCUAGACCAGUUCUGACACUGAGGCGCGAUAGCGUGGGGAGCAAACAGG